rnacentral:rRNA from 1 species
ACGUAGGGUGCAAGCGUUGUCCGGAAUUAUUGGGCGUAAAGAGCUCGUAGGCGGUUUGUCGCGUCUGGUGUGAAAACUCAAGGCUCAACCUUGAGCUUGCAUCGGGUACGGGCAGACUAGAGUGUGGUAGGGGUGACUGGAAUUCCUGGUGUAGCGGUGGAAUGCGCAGAUAUCAGGAGGAACACCGAUGGCGAAGGCAGGUCACUGGGCCACUACUGACGCUGAGGAGCGAAAGCAUGGGGAGCGAACAGGA